UGGGGUGGAAGGUGGGUGGAAACAGAAGAAGACACAGAAAAAAAGAUCCCAUUAGUAUGCUUCGAAGUUUGGGGGCCUGUUUGCGCGAUAUGCAAAUUGAAAGAGUCAAGAGUCACACAUUUCGUCGCCAAUGCGCCUCUCUGGAAUGGUUCGUGGUUGGUGCUCGUGUUUUUUGGUGAGAUGCUCGCUCGCGUGUUCAUGGAUGGAUGGUAAAGGACGGCCACAUACGAGAUACUACAGCUAAUAGGCGAUGGUUGUGGUGUGAUCCACGGAUAUCUAAAAUCCAGUCUGCGUAGAAAAUGUGACCUAAUCGGUGAAUCGAGCAUUACCGUUCCAGAACGGGUUGUUUCUUUUUGGCAAAUGAAAACAAACCAAAUCCGGUUCGGAAACCAGUUUCACGGUUGGUUAAUAUUCGGGUGUGAAAUUAGAUGAUAAAAAUGGGUAAAAAUAGAAACACGGAAACAACAGAAACAAAACAAAAGUUUUAGAUUUAUAUGGUGAUAUCAGAAGCAGCGAACGAGCGGACAAAGAUGAGCGACUGACGCUAGUAUAUAAUAGUUAUUUAUGUGACGAGUUGCAAUAAGUGUAUUUUUUCAGCACGAGUUGUACAUUUAUCCAACGAGGCUUGCCGAGUUGGAUAAAUACAAAGAGUGCUGAAAAAACGAGUUUUGCAACGAGUUCCAUACAAAAUUUUAUGCAAUGAUUUUUUCAUAAUGCAACCCAUUUGAGUUGCAUAAUGUUCAUAAUGCAACUCAAAUGAGUUGCAUUAUGAACAUUAUACAACUAUUUUUCAUUAUGCAACUCAUUUUAGUUGCAUAAUGAACCAGUUCGAAAAAAUGGCCAUUAUGAUAUCAAAAUGAGUUAAAUAAAAUAUAAAUUAUGAUACUGAAUUGCAUAAAAUGCUAUUUGAUAUGGACAGUGGUUCUCGAUUGGGUUUCAGGAGCGUCGUUUUAACUUAUGAAACAUUAAUAUGUGAUUGCAUUCCGUUACAUCACCCAAUUCCAAUCAUUUUUUUUUUUGAACGGAAGCGGGAAUCGAAAAGUGAUUAAAAUUAUUUCCAUUUGAUUCUAAUUUUUCUAUUUGGGAUUGUUGUUUAAGCUCACAAUUUUACAAUACUAUAAAGAAAAGAAGACGAAAAUAGCAAAAAGCACGCUUAUCACUAGAGAAAUCCUGGACGAAAACCCUAGAACGAUCCCUGAAGAAUCUCGAGAACAGGAAUUCCAAAACUAUUUCUUGGUGAAAUCCCUAGAAAAUCCAUAAAGAAUCUCUUGAGAAAUGCCCAGAGAAAUCCCUGGAGGAUUUAUGGGAAAAUCCUUAGAGAUAUAUUCCUGGAAUAAUUUCACCGGAGGAGUUUUUGAAUAAUCCAUCGAGAAUUCUCUAGAUAAAUUCCUUGAGGAAUCUCUCGAAAAAAAAAAUCCCCAGAGGAAUUUCCUGAUGAAUGUAUGGAGAAAUUUCUAGAGAAAUCCCAGAAGAUAUCCAAAGGAGGAAUCCCUAGAAAUAUUCUUGAAUAAAUCCCAGUGGAUUACUGAAUGAAUACCGCAAUGAAUUCUUACUGGAAACCCAGCAGGAUUCCUUGGAAAAAGCCCCGAAUGGAAAUCAUUGGAAAAUCAAAGGAGGACUCUCUGGAGGUACACUAGCAGGAAUACCUGGAGGAAUCUUAACUGGAAUUCUCAGAUGACAUUGUAACAUUUUUGGAGGAACCCCAGUCAGAAUUUGAAGAGAUAUUACAAGAGGAAUCCUUCGAAGGAAUUCCUUAAAAAACGUCUUCGGACGAAUUCCUUAAGUGGUCACAUACCUUGUGGGGAUAAAAAAAACUAACUCUUUUAUUGCAUAAUCUGAAAAUAUACUAGCUAGACAAUAUACAUUCCAAAUUGAAAUUUCAUAAAUAUUGGAGCACUAGAACCAAAGUUACAGUUCAUUGUAGCGCACACCCUUCACAAGGUAAAGUUUCGCGCUAUAAGAAAAGUUUACCGUUCAAUACAAAGAAUUCGACACUGAUUUUUCAUUUGGGUCUAACUGACAUUUUCGAGUUCUCUUCAUCGAUCCUCUCUUUGUGUUAUCACAGAAUGUGUGUUGAGUUUUCCAAAGUUUUUUUGGUUCGCAUUUGAAGAAGACGACUACAUGUUGCUAUAGAAACAAAAAGAAAAAUGAUUUUGUUUGUUUUGAUUAAGUUAUUAGCGAAAGAGAGAGUCGACGAAGAGAAAUCGAUCAAGUCAGUUAGGCCCUUAUGAAAAACCAUUGUCGAAUUGAGUUUUUAAGAUAUCGUGAUCACCAUAACGGCACCUUUAUAAAAACACCAUUUCGAGAUAAACGCGUGUAAAGGUUUGCGCUUUGCCUUAUCCUUAUGGAUGGUGCGCGCUACAAUGGCCUGUAGAUUUGGUGCUAGUGCUCCAAUAUUUAUGAAUUUUUUACCCCUUAACAAAUUCGUCCGGAGACUUUUUUUUUAGAAAUUCCUUCCAAGGAUUCCUCUGUAAUAUCACUUGAAAUUCUGACUAGGGUUCCUCCAAAAGUUUUCAUCUGAGAAUUCCUGCUAGGUGCUCUUGGAGCAACUCCUGGAAGAAUCACAGAAGGACCGUAUCUGGAGGAAUUCCAUCAGGAACAACUGGGCAAAUCCCAGCAGUGAUAACUAGAAGAAUCUCAGUGGGAGUUUAUGAAGCAAUUCUAGCUGGCAUUCUUGGAGGAAUUCUAGUAAGAAUAUCUGAAAGAAUCUUAGUGGCAAUUUCUGAACGUUUCAAAGAAUUAAUCCUCGAAAAAAAAAAUCUUUGAGGGAAUUCCUUAAGAAACCUCGGAGAAACCCCUUGAAAAUCACUGGAGGAAUCACUGAGGGAAUGAUAUCAGCAGUAACAUCUCAGCAGGCAGGACGAGAACUUCUGAAGGGAUUCCAGCCAACACUUCCUUGAAAAUCCCUGCAGAAAUUACUAGAGUAUUGCAGAUCAAGAAUUCCUGGAGGAAUCCUAGCAGGUUUUUCUCGGAGGAAUUACAAAAUAGAGGAGAAAUUUCUAUUGCCUAGAGGAAUUCUAUCAAGUAUUGGAUGAAUCCCAGUCAGAAUUUCAAUAGGAAUCACAAGAGGAAUCCAUAGAAAAAAUCUCAGAGGAAUUUCUGAAGAAAUCCUGUUACUGGUAUCAUACCACAACACGGUCGCAUGGCCCAUCUAUAUAGAUGUUUGACGCGAUCAGGAUUUAUACUAAUAUUGAGGGAAUGUGUACGGUGGACUAUCGGUUUAAUAAAACGAAACCAGAAAACGAAAAGAGGCAAAGUCCCAUCAAAUUGCGGGAAAGAGAGUGGUUUCCGAAAGGAAACAGACACUUUUAAUAACCACGCUUGUGGUAGCAGCAAAAGCCGAUAGUCCACUGCACACAGACACCCUAGGUUAAGGUUGCUGCCAUCACGGUUGGAGAGCGGAGAGCAGAGUCUCGUUGGACGAACCGCUGCACCGAACCCAUAUACCGAACCCAAGUGUGAGUCCCGUGUAUCCAUGCGUACGAUCGAGAGGUACAAAAAUCCGUGUGUCGAGUGCUCUACGCAGUUUUCGAGAAAGCUGGAAAUAGUUAUACAGAUAGCGCCCAAGAACGAUUGGAGUGUCUGCAGUGAAAAUUGCAAAUAUUGCGGCCAAUAUAGACCAGUUUCCAUGACGGUUCCCAAGUUUCGGGGAAGUAUUAUCGGUGGUCGGGCCAAGAAACUCGAAGAACGCCCAGUUAAGGUCCGAAGUGAUGGGAACGUGGAUGACCGUAGUGAGUGGGAAGUUGCGCCACGUGGACCCACAGGGCGGUCCCGUUUAGUGGAUCAGUAGUUUUGGAAUUCGAGUUCUAGAGCGAGUCCGAAGGACCACGGUAGAAAACGUUAAGUGCAUGGUGGGAUUAAGUAGCGGGCGUCUACAGACCCGUUCUUGAGCAGUAGCAGUGUUCCCGGUCGGAUAGAGGUGAGCCGGAUCAAGUGACAUUCGCCCGUGGAAGAGGUGUGGCCCAGGUGCAUGGGGGCCCGAGGAAGCUAAAUCGAAUAGCGGAGUGGUGAGCUGGAAGAUUAGAAGAUUGGAAGUGAAAAGUGUGAUGGAGAGUCGUGGCAGCAUUAGUUGGGUUCGGUGAAGAGCGGUAUCAGCGAUAACGGAGGCGAGACACGGCGUGGUAGCAGGUGGCCCCAACGUGAACGCGUGUGCACAAACUACAGGGGAUGGCCAAAAUGUUUGGGAUAGGCAACUUUUUUUCUCCCACAAAAAAAUUCAACAUGCUAUAACUUUUUAUUGAGUGCAUCAAAAAAUCCCAAAUUUGACUCUUUGUCAACCUAUUAUAUGUGCAUCAUUGGUACAAAUUUGGACUCGAUUGAUUAAUAUUUCGCAAAGUUAGAACCGUUCGGGUAAAACACUAUUUUUUAGACAACCAAUUUUUGAAAUGUCAUAUCUCGGAAACCAGUGAACCGAAUUGAAUGAAUUUUUUAACGUUUAUCAACAAUAUAUUGAUAAUUAAUACGACGUUAUAAAAUGUAAUAUUUUCGCACGGCGAAUUAAGUUAUACCGGGUUGAAAUGUUUACCCAUAUAUAGGAAAAUAAGUCAAAUUUACAAUACCACACAAAAAUUAUUUAAUGUGUUCUCCCUUAAACCUAAAUAGGUUCUAAUAUAUCUGAUUAGAGGUUAUUUGAGAACAGAAGUGGAAAAUCUUUGGAUAUCAACACUAAAAUUUAUUGACAUUAAUGUAAAAAAAUUACAUUUUUUUGAGAAAAUCCAAAAAGUGUCAAUCUAUGAUAACCUUUUUCAACGUUUAAAAAUUACCUAUGUUUUAAUAGUUUGCGAAGCAUUUACAUAUUGUUAGUGUACGUUCAAAAUUUUAUUCAAUUCGGUUCACUGGUUUCCGAGAUAUGACAGCUCAAAAAUUGGUUGUCUAAAAAAUAGUGUUUUACCCGAACGUUUCUAACUUCGCGAAAUAUUAAUCAAUCGAGCCCAAAUUUGUACCAAUGAUGCAUAUAUAAUAGGUUGACUAACAGUCAAAAUUUGAGAUUUUUUGAUGCGCUCUAUGAAAAGUUAUAGCAUGUUGAACUUUUUUGUGAGAGAAAAAAAAGUUGCCUAUCCCAAACAUUUUGGCCAUCCCCUGUAUAUUGUAAAUGGGGGGGGGGGGGGGGGGAAUUGGAAAUAAAAGCAUGCUUGCCAAGAUAUCGUUAGAAGAGUCAAGAAAGUGGUCUAGUUUUGGAGAAAGAAGUUUUAUAUCCGUUACAGGUCCAACCCACAAGAGUCAGAAGAGAGCAUUCGAUAAGUGGAAGUUUGAUCCAUACUGUAAUUCUUAUUUAUCGGUUCAGUAGUAAUUUCGAAUGGUAACAAUCCUAGCAGGAACAAUCUCAGGACAAUUUUUUUUUUAAGAAUUCCAUGGGAUAUUCCAGUUGAAACCCCAUGGUAGAAUCUUCGGUAAAAUCAAAGAAGGAACUGGAAGAAGCUCAGUAAUCAUAUCUGGAAUUCUUGGAAAAAAAUACUUGAAGGAACUCCUGAAGAAAUCCUUGGUUAAAUCCCUUGAAAAUUCCAAGAGGAAUACUAGCAGGAAUUCCUUCAAAAUCCCUGGAAAAAUCUCUGGAUGAAUUCCCUAAGGAAGCUUUGAAGAAGUUAAAGGAUUUUCGGGAAAAAUUCCAACCACAAAUUUUCGAAUCAAUUCCAGCAAGCAUUCCUAUAGGAAUCUUAAAAAAAUCUCAGUAGGAGUUUCUAGAUAAAUAACAGAAGAUAUCUUUGUAAAAAAAAAGAAUUAAAUCCUUUGGAAUCGUUGGUAAGAUCCUUUGGAAACCCCAGGAGGAAUACUAGCAGGAAUUCUAGGAGGAAUUCCUGGGAAAUCCCAGGAAAAGCCUCUGGAGAAAUUCCCUCCUAAGGAAUCUUUGAAGAAGUUACAGGAUUUUUAUACAUACCAAUGCCUAAAAAAAUCCAUAACGAAUUUUCAAAUCAAAUACAGCAAUCAUUUCUGAAGGAACCUUGGUAGAAAUAACUGAAAGAAUCCCAGUAGAAGUUUCCAGAUAAAUAACUGAAGGAACACUAGAGAAAAACUUUUGGGUGAAUUCCUGGAGAAAUUACACAAGGUAUUUCUGCCCAGCAGGAAGUCCAUCAGAAACUUCUACGUAAAUCCCAGCUGACAUUCCUGGGUGAAUCUCACCAUCUCACCAGACUCUCCACUAGGCUGCGGCUUAUUUUUGAAAAGUUGUUGAAACCUGGAAUUCAUAAGCUGUUUUGGAUGCAAAUGACAUAAAAAGAGAAGCCGCUGCGUUUGAGCCAAAAAUAUUAAUGGUACCGUUAUAGUUACGCGUGAGAGUGGGAGUGCGCGUGUGCGAAGCCGAACAGAAAAAUAUCAACAAUAGCAAAUCCACGAAAAUCUUAUGGACGCGCACUCUCACUCUCACUUUGAAGCGGCACUAUGGCAGCGCGGUAAGAUUUAGAGGUGGCACAAUCGCCUCAAAGCUGAAUUUUCGAAUUAUAAAAAUAUUCAGCCGAUUUUCAUUUUUUUAUGAAUCUCUCGCAAAUAAAAUUUCGAAUAAACUUAUAGAACAUUAUUUUUUCCAAAGUCCCGCAAAAUAUGAGUUUUUAAAGAUUUAAUUUAUUGUUUUCUUCUUUUAACAUAAAAAAUUACUUUUGGGCUCGAUAACUUCAGUUUGAUAGACUGGAACCAAUUUGUGAUUGAGGGCGACUUCUGGGGGAUCGGAUUAAAAUAAAUUGUCGGGAGUCGGGUACGUGAAGGUUAACCGAUAGUAUACGCAAAAAUAGACCAUUUGGUGAUAAAAAAAGUCAAAUUCGUCAAAAAAUAACAUUGGACAAUUAUGCUGCAUAUGGCAGAUUAGGGUUCAUUCAAAUAUUACGUAACGCAAAAUUUAACUAUUUUAGACCCCCUCCCUCCCCCACGUAACAACUUUUGUAUGGGAAAUUUUUAAAUUUUGUAUGAAGCGUAACACAGCGCUAGACCCCCUCCCUCCCCUAUUAGCGUUACGUAAUAUUUGAACGAACCCUUAUGGCAACAAACUUUUUUUUUUGUUUGUUUAGAAACAUGUAUUCUUUGAAAGCUAAAUAAAACUUCAACCGGUGAGGAUGUUCAAACUAUGAAUCAACGGGAUACCUUUUGACGCCUUUGAAAAUAUCGUAUCCAAUAGGCUAGAGGAACAGGUUCACCUAACGUGAAUGAGGAUGAAGCAUCUGUCAAAUUUAGCACUUUUUCUAUAUGAAGAUCUACUUUUUCUCUGGUGGUCAAUUCAUCUACAUUCAUCCAGUUCCCCUAGCCUAUUAACGCCGUGUUACCAUAUGACUCUCAUAACUAUUUUUGUUUGUCUUUAUUAAAGAGAUUAUUAGCCUUUUUUGCUUUGAACACUUAGCACGGAGAUGAACCAGCCUAGGGUUGAAAAUUUCUUUUAUUCAUUCAUUGGUAGGCGUGAACUUGGCUUUGAGCAAAAAUUGAUGUUGACAUAAACAUUUUAUUUUAAAAAAGCAUAUUUUUAUGGGAGUCAGAUGAUUUUCAAAGAAAUUGCCUACCAUUAGGCGUUAUAUGAGAGUAAAUUCGUAAUUUAUCGAACAUUAUUUUACUGUUUACAGCUGUGCUCAUAAAAAAGCAAUGAAAGCCGUUUUCAUACAAAAUGGCCAACUUUGGCAUGAUGUAACUUUGUUCUCCUAUGACCGAUUGAACUGAAAAUUUGACAACGAACUACAAAUAUGGUGAAUAUUGAUUUUGAUAUAAGAGAAUUUUUGAAGCACGUAGAAAAAAAGUUGAACACUAUGUGAAAUUGAUCAAAAUAAUAGCAGAUUUUUUUCAUUCAGCAAAUCUUUUCAAAAUUUUUAAAUGUUAACAUCAACUUGUAACCAAGGCGAAAACUGUUUAAAUAGCGUUCAACAUUUUUUUGGUUUUUCAAAGUUUCUACAUUUCUACAUUUCAAUUUAUUUACACUGCUAUUAUUUUGAUCAAUUUCACAUAAUGUUUAACUUUUUCUCACGAGCUUUGAAAAUUUUCAGAUUUAACUAUAACCAUAUUCACCAUAUUUGUAGUUCGCUGUCAAAUUUUCAGCUCAAUCGCUCAUAGGAGGACAAAGUUACAGCAUGCCAAAGUUGGCUUUUAACGGAUUACACUGCUAUUUUUGUGAAUACAGUUGUACAUAUGAAUUACAUCAGUUCCACGAAUUUUAAAACCUUAUCCAGAUUUAGCACCAUCAGUUUAGUUUGCUCAAUAAUUUUACAAUCCUAGAAUAUUAUGUCAUUGUUUGAUUAACUUCACCUGGAAACAAAAUUUUUAAAUUUGAUCAUUUGGACAUGUUUACAAAACGGUGCAAUUUAUUUUAAGGAUGUUGUUUACGUUACUUAAUGCUGGCCCCUUCAGUACCAAUAUGUUUUAAAAAUACUUGAGUGGAAUCAUAUGUAUGCAUUGUGCCUUGUUUUAUUGGAAAGAACAGAUAAAAAGUGACCAACUUUCCCCCAGGUUACGGUACACAUCCGUAAUAAAAAUUUUGGAGUAAUUUUUGCAGAAUGUCAAUAGAAGAAUAAUUUGAGAAGUUUAAACAACAUUGUUAAAAGGAUUCCUCCAGUAAUACAUCUGUGAUUUACAUAAUAGGGAAAAAUUGUGUAUUUUCGGCAAUUUUGUUCUCUUCGUCAUGGAAGAUUUUUUGAAAGUUGUUGAACUCAUAGUUGGGCUCAAAUCCUUCCCAACCAAGCUCAAUUAUAUGCCCAAGUUUCAGGAAAAUUGGUCGACAAAAACCUAUCAUGACGAAGAGAACAAACCUGCCGAUAAUACCCAUGGUCACCCUAAUUCAACUAAAAUUCUUAUAGUUUGGCAAAAACUCUUUCAGAAACGGUUAUUUUUUAAAUGUUUUUUUUCAGGAAUUUUCAUAAAAAAUGUCAAGUUGUUAUAAAUAAAAUUGAUUUUAAAACACAACACCCAUAGAUCGCAACCCAGCCGUUGAGAACCACUGUGAAAAAUGUUAAUGCUUCUAAUAAGCUGCGCAUGGUGAGAAAAGUUCGCUAGAGAAAAAAAAACAAGGCGAUGUGCAUUCGGCGCUCUUUCUGUGGGAUCUCUCUCCAUUCCGUCUC